rnacentral:lncRNA from 1 species
UGAAAUAUAUUUUAAUUGUAGAGACAUUUUGCUUCUUCCUCGUACCUCUGCAGCCUCGCCGUCCUCCGCCGGCCGGAAAUCGUCUCCGCCGGCGGCGAUGCCCCAAAUCCACCCAAAAUUACAUCACAGGUGCUCCUCCGCCCCCUCUCCCCAUAUCUGGCCUUAGUUUUUUCCAAAUCCUAACCAAAACUCUCGAAUUUCAUAUCGAAAGUCCGGCCAAAAACGCAAAAUAAUCCAAUCUCAACCAAAUUAACACUGUUUGUUCUCCUCACUCUCCUCUUUACGAAUCCGUAGCCCUUGACCCUCGAAUCAUCUGGGAAGUUCGCGAAUAUUGGAUUAAAGGCCGCCCCAAAACUCUAGUUUCGUGAAUCGGGGUUUCUGUCGAUGGCUUGACCAUUAUAAGGUUUAGCCGUGUAUUUUCUCGUGGAAAACACACGGUUAAACACUAAUAUUGGUCAAGCAACUUCAAGCCAAGUCGUCUAAGGUCAGUUUCAAUUUAAUGCAUUAUGGCCGAAAUUAGUAAGUUUCUCGAUUUCUUUCUUCCUUUUCUUAUAUAAUCAUUUGUUUUGUUCCAAUUUUGAUUUGAAUUUCAGUAAUUGUUCCAUGUUAGUCUAAUUUUGAUUUGUUCUUGUUCUGUUUUCUUUAGUAAUUGUGAUGAUUAAGGUUUUCGAUUUAGUUUUGAUUGUAAAUUGUUUCUGAAUUUCAGUAAGUUCAAUAUUUUUGUUUUGAUAGAUUUUAUUCUAGUCUUGAUUUGAUUUUGUUUAGGUUUAGUUUUGAUUUUGAUUGGUUAAACAUUGGUUGAAUUUCCUAUUAGCUUUUAUUUCUCAGUUAGUCUAUUUGGUGUUUCAAAUCUGUUUUGGGUGUUGUUUGAUUUUGUUUGAAUGAAUUAAUACUUCUGUUAGUUUAUUUAGUUUAGUUUUACUUGUUCAUUCAAUUUAGUGCUCAUUUGCAAUUCAAUUAGGCUUAAGGUUUGGAUAUAGCUGAAUAAUUUAGCCUUCAAUUAACCUUGGUUGAUUUUUAACUAAGGCAAAAGGGGUUUGGGUUGUUUAGUAAUUUCAGAGAGUGGUCAAGGGUAGUUUGGGCAUGGGAAAGGGCUGGUUUGUUAAGAAUUAGUAAUUUUAGAACCCAAAUAAGGGUAGUAUAGGUAUUCCAUAGGUAGAAGAACACCCUAGGGCCUUGUAGAAAGGGGCCUUAGUGUAAGUUUCUGCAUUUUCAGAGCAGUAACUUGGGCAACAAGCCACAAAUUCAGGGAUUAAUCACCAAUUCUGAAAAUAAAAAGGGGGGAAAAUGUUUGAGAGUUUCCAGAACAUUCUGCCCUUUUAUUGCCUAUAAAAGGCAGCCCCAAUGCCUUCAUUUACAAGUUUACACACCCCUGAAAAUUCCCAAAAGUUUGGAAGCUCAAAAAUUUCCCCCCAAAAGGGCCCUCUCAACAAGUCUAAGCAGAAUUCAAAUUUCAACCUAGAUCUGAUUUCUAAUAGUUCAAACUCUCUUUUAGAUUUCAAAUUUCCAAAAUCUCAAAAAAGAAACAAAAACAAAAACAGAAAAUAUGAGAAAAUUGCAAAAAGAAAUGCACUAUUACAUUGGUUUUUGAUUUAGUUUUGUUCGAUUUUCUUCUCUUUUGAUUAUUGGAGUUUCUGGAUCAUGCUGGUUUGGUAUUGAGCAGUUUUGGUUUAAGUAAACUGGGUUUUGUUUGAGUUUGGUGUUUGCUGAGUAUUUCUGGAUGCCUUUUGAGUUUACUGGUUUGCUGUGGUGCUGUUUUGGUCAAUCCCUCUGUCCUAUUUGAUAUUUGGACUACUGCUCUGCUUUCUGGGUUAAAAUUGUUGUGUUGUUGCUGGAAAUUCUCAAUCGUUGCUGCUGCUGCUAACUUCUCCUCUUCUUGUUGCAUUCUAAUUCCCAGGUACUUGGCUCGACUAUGAAUGACGUUUGUGAUCUCAAGCUUAAUAUAGCCAAUUGAAAAGAAAUUGAAGUGCCAGUUGUCUAUUUGUUUCAGUUUGCAUACAGUUUCAUAUUUGUGUUCAUGUGAAAUUUUAUAAUGUGUAUAUCAAUUAGGACUGUCUGAUUAAGAUUACUUCUCCUGCCAUGGACUGUUGAAAUUUGUACUCAAAUCAGAUCUCUUAGGGCUGUUAAUUGAUGUUUGUUAUUCGUGGACACAGCGUGGUCUAAUGUUUGGUUUUCAUGGUAAUACUGGGUAAGCAUAUGGAAUCAGAAUGAGGUUGAGUUUGCAAUCAAUUUAGAAGUAUGCUCUACUGUAAAUAUGAAUAAAUACUUAUGUGCUAAUUUGAGUAUUAGCUAAAAACAAGUCACAAAUGAGCAUGUGAAUCUCUUAGCCGGUUUGGAUUCAGUGUCGCCUUAUGAUCUUCAUGAAAUUAGCUAUAAACAGGUUUAGUUAGAACUCUUUUAGUAUAUCUGGUUUCUGUCAAUGGAUUCUACUUCACAUUGUCACUAUUAAAAAUGCAUGAGGUAGAUUCAAUUGGUUAAUUGAAAUGAAACAAACAAAAACAAAGUAGCUGCUCAUGUAAUAAGCUGAACUGGGCAGGCCACCAAUACAAUAAGUUUGGGCCUGUUUCCGUUGAACAUGGCCCAUGUCUGGGUUUAUUUUCUCUCUACGCAAUCACAAGCAAAAUGGCAUAGGGCCGGUAUUAAAGCCCAAAUGCUGAAGCUUCAAUGAAGUCAUAGACUUAAUUUUAAUCCUUAUUUGGAAAUGAAGUAACUCCUAAAUAAUAAUGAUUAAUUAGGAUUUUUAUUUU